rnacentral:rRNA from 1 species
AUUGAACGCUGGCGGCAGGCCUAACACAUGCAAGUCGAACGAGUGGCGGACGGGUGAGUAAUGUCUGGGAAACUGCCUGAUGGAGGGGGAUAACUACUGGAAACGGUAGCUAAUACCGCAUACCAUCAGAUGUGCCCAGAUGGGAUUAGCUAGUGGGUGGGGUAACGGCUCACCAAGGCGACGAUCACUAGCUGGUCUGAGAGGAUGACCGGCCAAACUGGAACUGAGAAACGGUCCAGACUCCUACGGGAGGCAGCAGUAGGGAAUAUUGCACAAUGGGGGCAAGCCUGAUACAGCCAUGCCGCGUGUAUGAAGAAGGCCUUAGGGUUGUAAAGUACUUUCGGCGGGGAGGCGUUACCCACAGAAGAAGCACCGGCUAACUCCGUGCCAGCAGCCGCGGUAAUUC